rnacentral:lncRNA from 1 species
GGACCCACACAGAUUUAUAUAAUAUAAUACUGUAACACAUUACAAUUGUUUACUAAUAUAUUAAAAAUACAAAUAGUUAUUUGUGACGAAAGCGUUUAUCUUGUGUUGUCAUGCUUGUCCUAUUAAAGAUACGAAACAAAAAGUGUAAGAGAAGUUAUAAGUGUAAUAAUAUUGAAUGUGGCAAGCAAAAGCAGCUAUAGAAUUAGAAGUAACAGAAUCAUUCUUCAACUUAAGUGAUGCACAUGCAUCCAAAAAGAACACAUUUUGGCUUUGCAGGGGGAAUACAUUUAUAAAUUUCGCAAUCAGGGCUUGAACCACAUUUUUCACCUAUGAUAUUAAACAAGAAUAAAAUAGUAAUGAUUGUCAAAAAUAAAUAAAUAAAUAAAUAAAAUGAUGAAAAAUUGUAUAUAAGGUAAAUACAAAUACGAAAAUGAUUAGAAAAUAGGUUUACCGUAAGCAUCGGCUACAACGAAAAAUAGGGAUAGAAAAAU